UACAUAGGGUGCAAGCGUUGUCCGGAAUCAUUGGGCGUAAAGGGAGUGUAGGUGGUUUUGUAAGUUAAAUGUGAAAUCCUGCGGCUUAACCGUAGAAUUGCAUUUGAUACUGCAGAGCUAGAGUGUGGAAGAGGAAAGCGGAAUUCCUAGUGUAGCGGUUAAAUGCGUAGAUAUUAGGAGGAACACCAGCGGCGAAGGCGGCUUUCUGGGACAUAACUGACACUGAGGCUCGAAAGCGUGGGGAGCAAACAGG
rnacentral:rRNA from 1 species